UCCGGCUUAACGCCGGCAGUCUACCUAGAGUGCCCAACUUAAUGGUGGCAACUAAGUACGAGGGUUGCGCUCGUUGCGGGACUUAACCCAACACCUCACGGCACGAGCUGACGACAGCCAUGCAGCACCUGAACCAGCGGUCCCCGAAGGGAAAAUCCUAUUUCUAGGACGGUCCGCCGUUGUCUAGCCCAGGUAAGGUGGGGAUGACGUUGACGUCAUAACC
rnacentral:misc_RNA from 1 species